rnacentral:snRNA from 1 species
AUCGCUUCUCGGCCUUUUGGCUAAGAUCAAGCGCAGUAUC